GUGACCCCAGGUCAGGCGGGACUACCCGCU
rnacentral:rRNA from 1 species